UUAAAAUAAUGCAUGUGCUAGCGUAGCUUAAUUAAAGCAUAACACUGAAGAUGUUAAGAUGGACCCUAGGAAGUCCCGCAAGCACAAAGGCUUGGUCCUGACUUUAUUAUCAACUUUAGCCAAACUUACACAUGCAAGUAUCCGCGCCCCUGUGAGAAUGCCCUACAGUUCCCCGCCCGGGAACAAGGAGCUGGUAUCAGGCACAUCCUAUUAAGCCCACGACACCUUGCUUAGCCACACCCUCAAGGGAACUCAGCAGUGAUAAACAUUAAGCUAUAAGUGAAAACUUGACUUAGUUAAAGCUAAGAGGGCCGGUAAAACUCGUGCCAGCCACCGCGGUUAUACGAGAGGCCCGAGUUGACAAACACCGGCGUAAAGCGUGGUUAAGUUAAAAAUCGUACUAAAGCCAAACAUCUUCAAGACUGUUAUACGUAACCGAAGACAGGAAGUUCAACCACGAAAGUCGCUUUAUCUGAUCU
rnacentral:rRNA from 1 species